GGAGUUUAGCUCAGUUGGUUCAGAGCAUCUGCCUUACAAGCAGAGGGUCGGCGGUUCGACUCCGUCAACUCC
rnacentral:tRNA from 1 species